rnacentral:lncRNA from 1 species
AGCUUUGCAUGUCUCCGGCUAUGCCAAUGGUGGGAAGCAGAAAAGUUUCGUUGCUGGGCGAGGUUGUCCAGCUUCCACAGUCCUUUACCAGAUGAUAUCACAUUGAAUUCCGAUUGACAGUAUUGAUCCAAAGCGUCGCGACACUGCUUGUCCCAAUACCUCCUACACCUAACAGAAGGAGAAAAGACAUGCACUGCACCUGCAGUCUGCUUUCCGUGGGAAGAAUAGGAUCGAAGGGCUAGGGUAUCUUAAGGAGAGCUUGAGGCGGUACUAAUAUUUAUCCAGCAGUAACAAGGCACAGAGGAGAGGCUUGAAUCCGGAGUGGGUAAUGAUAAAAGGUCAGCGGGUAACCAAUUCUAUCUUUACAGUGUGGUUUAAAAAUACCCAUAAGUACUUAUUGAUAUUUCAAGGUAUUUCCAUUGUUUCCACCGUAAGUGUUGGAAUAUGCUUCAAAUUUCUAAGGCUUCUACAUGCACCAACCGUUGGUGUCUAACUUAGCUUGUCCUAAAUUGGGGAGGCAUUUUGUGGUAGCAUGCUUGCAUGCAUGUUUACAGGUUGCAUGCAUGAGUUUUUGUUCAGCCAUUCAUUGUUUGGAUUGCCUGCAUGCUCCGAUCUAUAAACCAGUUGAAUGUUAUACAAUAGAGAGUAGCACAAUUAGCAGAGUCAUGCUGUGUUUCUAUUCCUCUUGUAAUCCGCUUGGUUGAGUUAACCACUCAUUGUAAAUUCCUAGCAUUUGUAUACCUCCAAAUAUAUUGAAUAGUGAAGAUCAUCUUUGUGUAUCCGUGUCUUGCUUCCAAAGGACUUUCCACAUAAAUCUAUGUCUCUCAUGGUUGUGAUCAUACUUGUUUCCUCAGUUGAUUUCUAACGGUCCGAUCGGAAAAAACAAUAAAAAAUAUAAUUCUAAGGACUAUUUUUGAUACUUGGUCCCACUAAUUUUGUACUUCUUAGUACUUCACUUUAAGUACUUCAAGGUAAUUCCUUUGUUUCUAUUGUUAUAUUUCUCAAGAUGGACAGAUGUCAUUUUUUCCCAUCAUUUUAAAAUUUCUCUACUAACUAUCUAUGCAAAUCACAGACUCUAAGGAAAUACCUACACUAAUUACAAAUCAGUCCAUGUGUCAAUAUUGUGAUGACUCGAAUAAUCUUAUUAGAUUUUCUUUUUCAUACAAACUGAGAGGAAUUCCCACGGUAAUCAGAUCCAGAGAUAUAAGUCCAUAAAUCUAUGUCAUGACAGCUCAUAUAUUUUUAUAUGAUUUUUUUCCUUUUUCCCAAGUAAAAUUUUGACCAACCAACAAAUAAAAUUAAGGCAGUAAAAUAUACGUGAUUAGAAACCUAGAUGAAACCAAUAUCCCUC